GCUACGGUUUUAAAGAAAGUAGUCGGUGGAAAUGCAAUAUGUCCGUUUAUUGGAGUAGACGGCGCUUACGCGAUUAAUCUGUUAGUUAAAGGAAUUCUCCAAUGCGGUAGACUAAGCAUUAUAUUAAAGCUAGAGAAAAAAGAAAGCUCACAACUUUAAAGUCAACAAGCGCCAAAGAGCUUAAAGGAUUAUGUGUAAUUCCAUAAGCCACACACUAUUGUUAAAAAUGUGGAUACAGAUACGUUGCGAUAAAAGGUGAUGCAGACAAAAAUAGCUAAUAACACGAUAUACUAUAAAUUCAGCAUGACUGACAGUCAUUGCUAACGAAAAUACUCGAGCUGCUUUCGAUAGCUUAGCAGACGACCUACAAGAUAAUUAUGCCCAACUUAUCGGCACGACAUCGGCUAUUGAUUUGUGCAAUCAAUCAUUGCUAUGUACUUCGAAUAUAUGCAGUUUAAUAAACGAUACAAUGGUGUAGUAAAAAUAUAUCCAAAUCAGAUUUUAAUUAUUUUAGUUUCGAAAAUCGUGGUCGAAAAUAGAAUAAAGGGUAGACCGUAAAGACAAAUUAUUGCUUCUAAAUGGAUAUUUUUGGACCUGACAGCAGCUCACAAGGAUAGCGAGCAGAGAAAUUGCGAAUAGAUGACUGGUAUUAUUAUUAGCUGUUCCCAUUAGAACUAAGGAAUAACUUGCGUUAUUGCACCGCUUCAUUGUAAAAAAAUAUUCAGAGGACUCCAAGUUCAUAUUUAACGACAUAAAACCAAAUUCUUUUAAUG